rnacentral:rRNA from 1 species
UACGAAGGGGGCUAGCGUUGCUCGGAAUCACUGGGCGUAAAGGGUGCGUAGGCGGGUCUUUAAGUCAGGGGUGAAAUCCUGGAGCUCAACUCCAGAACUGCCUUUGAUACUGAAGAUCUUGAGUUCGGGAGAGGUGAGUGGAACUGCGAGUGUAGAGGUGAAAUUCGUAGAUAUUCGGAAGAACACCAGUGGCGAAGGCGGCUCACUGGCCCGAUACUGACGCUGAGGCACGAAAGCGUGGGGAGCAAACAGG